rnacentral:rRNA from 1 species
CCUACGGGCGACAGCAGUGGGGAAUAUUGCACAAUGGGGGAAACCCUGAUGCAGCAACGCCGCGUGAAGGAAGACGGUUUUCGGAUUGUAAACUUCUAUCAAUAGGGAAGAAAGAAAUGACGGUACCUAAAUAAGAAGCCCCGGCUAACUACGGGCCAGCAGCCGCUGCAAUACGUAGGGGGCAAGCGUUCUCCGGAAUUACUGGGUGUAAAGGGAGAGUAGGCGGCAAGGUAAACGAUAUGUGAAAGCCUUACGCUUAACUUAAGGAUGGCAUAACGAACUAUCUAGCUAGGGUACAGGAGAGGAAAGCGGAAUGCGUAGUGUAGCGGUGAAAUGCGUAGAUAUUAGGAAGAACACCAGUGGCGAAGGCAGCUUUCUGGACUGAAACUGACGCUGAGGCUCGAAAGCGUGGGGAGCGAACAGGAUUAGAUACCCGGGUAGUC